GACGGAGGAUGCAAGUGUUAUCCGGAAUCACUGGGCGUAAAGCGUCUGUAGGUGGUUUAAUAAGUCAACUGUUAAAUCUUGAGGCUCAACCUCAAAAUCGCAGUCGAAACUAUUAGGCUGGAGUAUAGUAGGGGUAAAGGGAAUUUCCAGUGGAGCGGUGAAAUGCGUAGAGAUUGGAAAGAACACCGAUGGCGAAGGCACUUUACUGGGCUAUUACUAACACUCAGAGACGAAAGCUAGGGUAGCAAAUGGG
rnacentral:rRNA from 1 species